UUUCCAUCUUGAUAAGAGCAAAUAUGGAGGUGAGGAUUCUAAAAGCAGUUGUCUUGGUUUUGGCUUUGGGAAUGCUAACUGGGCAGGGUUGUGCCUCUUUCAAAGAUUGCUAUACAAAAUGCUUUAUUUUUUGUAUGAUUGAACCUUCUCUGCCGUUUAAAUAUACAUAAAGAAAGUUCUAAACAUAGAAAGCUGGUCGAUAAUUAUUCAGUCAACCAUUAUGAAGGUCAGGGACCUACCAUUGUGGAGUCAUAAAAGAAAAUUGUUUUCUAAAGGAAUUUACAAUUCUAUAAAAGAAUGAAACCAGAAUAUAAGGUCUCUUUAGCCCAUUUCCAUCUUGAUAAGAGCAAAUAUGGAGGUGAGGAUUCUAAAAGCAGUUGUCUUGGUUUUGGCUUUGGGAAUGCUAACUGGGCAGGGUUGUGCCUCUUUCAAAGAUUGCUAUGCAAAAUGUUUUAUUUUUUGUAUGAUUGAACCUUCUUAAACCCUUUGUUCCUGCGCUACACACUGUUUGAAACAAUGCAUAUUUCCAGACACCCCACAAGGCGUUAAUGAAGAUGUGGAAAAUCUAGGAUUCUGCAAACUUGGAUGUGCCUUCUCCAUGUGCUCCACUAUUAGCACUAAA
rnacentral:lncRNA from 1 species